UUCGCCUUCCGGGCCGUGAGGUUUGUCCUGGUCAGAACGACGUGGCGGAGGUUAACACAUGCAAGUACGACGAUCGAAGUGAGUGGCAGACGGGUAGUAACGCGUGGGAACCUACCCAGAACUUCGGAAUAACACAUGGAAACGUGUGCUAAUACCGGAUACGCCCUACGGGGGAAAGAUUUAUCGGUUUUGGAUGGGCCCGCGUAAGAUUAGCUAGUUGGUAGGUAAUGGCUCACCAAGGCGACGAUCUUUAGCUGGUCUGAGAGGAUAUCACCACACUGGGACUGAAACACGGCCCAGACUCCUACCGAAGCACAUGGAAUAUUGCACAAUAGGCCAACUGACUCCACCAUCCGCGUGAUCAUGAAGCCUUAGGUGAAACUCUUUCAGUAGGAAAUAAUCACGUACCUACAGAAGAACCCCCGUCUAACUUCUCCACAGCCACAGUAAUACGAAGGUGUCUACUUUUUUCGAAUACUAUCUUAAACACAC
rnacentral:rRNA from 1 species